rnacentral:rRNA from 1 species
UACGAAGGGGGCUGGCGUUGCUCGGAAUCACUGGGCGUAAAGGGUGCGUAGGCGGGUCUUUAAGUCAGGGGUGAAAUCCUGGAGCUCAACUCCAGAACUGCCUUUGAUACUGAAGAUCUUGAGUUCGGGAGAGGUGAGUGGAACUGCGAGUGUAGAGGUGAAAUUCGUAGAUAUUCGCAAGAACACCAGUGGCGAAGGCGGCUCACUGGCCCGAUACUGACGCUGAGGCACGAAAGCGUGGGGAGCAACAGGG